CUGUGAUCAAGCAACUGACACCAUCCCCUGUAGCUCAUGGAGUUGGAGAGGGAAUCAAGGCUUUUCUUUGAUAUCAAAUGUUUCUAAGAAUGUGUGAGCAAUGGAGACUGGGGGGAGGUGGAGAAGUACUUAUCACAGUUCACAAAUGCAGAGGAUAACCCUGAAUCCUUUAGCAUUUUCUUUGAGAUCAGAAGGCAAAUUAUUAUGAAGCACAUGACAAGGGUGAUCGUAAAAUGAUGCUGGACAUUCUUAAAAUGGAACUCGAA